GCACUGCUUACGAGUCCCAAACAGGACGAGACAGCUGUCUAGUGC
rfam:Echinostoma caproni strain Egypt genome assembly, scaffold: ECPE_scaffold0002576